AGGNGGUGCUAAUACAUGCAAGUCGAGCGGACAGAUGGGAGCUUGCUCCCUGAUGUUAGCGGCGGACGGGUGAGUAACACGUGGGUAACCUGCCUGUAAGACUGGGAUAACUCCGGGAAACCGGGGCUAAUACCGGAUGGUUGUUUGAACCGCAUGGUUCAGACAUAAAAGGUGGCUUCGGCUACCACUUACAGAUGGACCCGCGGCGCAUUAGCUAGUUGGUGAGGUAACGGCUCACCAAGGCGACGAUGCGUAGCCGACCUGAGAGGGUGAUCGGCCACACUGGGACUGAGACACGGCCCAGACUCCUACGGGAGGCAGCAGUAGGGAAUCUUCCGCAAUGGACGAAAGUCUGACGGAGCAACGCCGCGUGAGUGAUGAAGGUUUUCGGAUCGUAAAGCUCUGUUGUUAGGGAAGAACAAGUGCCGUUCAAAUAGGGCGGCACCUUGACGGUACCUAACCAGAAAGCCACGGCUAACUACGUGCCAGCAGCCGCGGUAAUACGUAGGUGGCAAGCGUUGUCCGGAAUUAUUGGGCGUAAAGGGCUCGCAGGCGGUUUCUUAAGUCUGAUGUGAAAGCCCCCGGCUCAACCGGGGAGGGUCAUUGGAAACUGGGGAACUUGAGUGCAGAAGAGGAGAGUGGAAUUCCACGUGUAGCGGUGAAAUGCGUAGAGAUGUGGAGGAACACCAGUGGCGAAGGCGACUCUCUGGUCUGUAACUGACGCUGAGGAGCGAAAGCGUGGGGAGCGAACAGGAUUAGAUACCCUGGUAGUCCACGCCGUAAACGAUGAGUGCUAAGUGUUAGGGGGUUUCCGCCCCUUAGUGCUGCAGCUAACGCAUUAAGCACUCCGCCUGGGGAGUACGGUCGCAAGACUGAAACUCAAAGGAAUUGACGGGGGCCCGCACAAGCGGUGGAGCAUGUGGUUUAAUUCGAAGCAACGCGAAGAACCUUACCAGGUCUUGACAUCCUCUGACAAUCCUAGAGAUAGGACGUCCCCUUCGGGGGCAGAGUGACAGGUGGUGCAUGGUUGUCGUCAGCUCGUGUCGUGAGAUGUUGGGUUAAGUCCCGCAACGAGCGCAACCCUUGAUCUUAGUUGCCAGCAUUCAGUUGGGCACUCUAAGGUGACUGCCGGUGACAAACCGGAAGAAAGUGGA
rnacentral:rRNA from 1 species